rnacentral:misc_RNA from 1 species
AUCAAUGAAAUGGUGGCUUCACUAAGGAAUUUACAGCUUGGCAAGGGGAAGUCCUUGCCUUCUUCUUGGAAUGUGCAGGUUGGUGGAUCCGGGUUUGGAUCUCCAAGAGGGUCAAUGAUCCGACCCGUAUUCUGUAGCCUGCCAUCCACUCCAACGGGCGGUCCAACCCGUUCAGGACUGGGUCACCGUGAUAUUUGGGAAAAUGAUUGCGAGGAGGAGCCUGCGAUGGAGAGAGUGGAAUCAGG